rnacentral:rRNA from 1 species
UAGCUGGUCUGAGAGGACGACCAAGCCACACUGGGACUGAGACACGGCCCAGACUCCUACGGGAGGCAGCAGUGGGGAAUUUUGGACGAUGGGGGCAACCCUGAUCCAGCCAUGCCGCGUGAGUGAAGAAGGCCUUCGGGUUGUAAAGCUCUUUCAGCCGGAACGAAAAGGUUACGGUUAAUACCCGUGACUAAUGACGGUACCGGAAGAAGAAGCACCGGCUAACUACGUGCCAGCAGCCGCGGUAAUACGUAGGGUGCGAGCGUUAAUCGGAAUUACUGGGCGUAAAGCGUGCGCAGGCGGUUUUGUAAGUCAGAUGUGAAAUCCCCGGGCUUAACCUGGGAACUGCGUUUG